GGCCUCGUAGCUCAGCUGGCAGGUUGUGCGCUCUAUAAAGUGCAGGCGGCGUCCAUGCGUGGGUUCGAAUCCCACCGAGGCUA
rnacentral:tRNA from 1 species